UACGGAGGGUGCAAGCGUUAUUCGGAAUUAUUGGGCGUAAAGAGCGCGUAGGCGGUCCUUUAAAUCAGAUGUGAAAGCCCAGGGCUCAACCCUGGAAGUGCAUUUGAAACUAAAGGACUUGAGUAUGGGAGAGGGAAGUGGAAUUCCUGGUGUAGCGGUGAAAUGCGUAGAUAUCAGGAGGAACACCGGUGGCGAAGGAGACUUCCUGGACCAAUACUGACGUUGAGGCGCGAAGGCGUGGGGAGCAAACAGC
rnacentral:rRNA from 1 species